rnacentral:lncRNA from 1 species
CGAUUGCUCGCUUGCUCGCUCCUCGCUCGCACGCCCGGGCCCCCGGCACCCGAGACCGGCCCCGCAUCGGCGGAGGGCGGCUGCUUCCGGCGGGCCCGCGCCGGGGAACGGCUGCGGAGGGAAUUCUCACGGAGGCGGUCGCUCGGGAUCCCAUUUUCACGCUUGAAAGGGUCGCCACCUUGGCUUCCGCUCAUCAGCCUGGUGGUGGCUCUUGGCUCCCCAGCGGAGGCAGAGCUGGUGAUGGAGGGGCUGGUGCGGACAGAGUGACAGCACCGGGGGUGGGGUGGGGGAGGUGCGGGCUCCGGGGGAGCGCGCGCGCUAGGAAGCCUGUGCCGGUCGCGGGCGCCGGCGCACGCCCUGCACCCGCGUUCCGGGCUCCGGGCGCCCGGUUCAUACUCUCGCGGCCGCCGAGCAACCUCUUACCCAGACCCGGGGCGCCAGCACUCACCUCCCCGCCGCCGUGGGUGGGCAGAGCGGGGCCCGGGGACUUGGAUGCCCAGUGUGUGGACAAGUCCCAAGUAUUGUGAUCUAAGAAGAACCAUAUGGAUUGUUGUUGAUGGAAGAUACCCAGAGAGCCCUGUUAGCUUGGACCUGGGAGAGGAGGGCCAUCUUCCUCCCUUGCUAUCUUUCCUUUCUCCCUGGGGAGAAGAAAUACAAAAGCAGUAGACAUAAAUCAGAAAGCCCCACAAUGGGUGGCUCUGAAUAUGUAAUAAUUGGAUCACUGAGAUCUUGAACUACAAUAGUUCCUUUUUCAACAUUCUGUGCGAAUUCGAAAAAAAUUUUUUUUUGUUUUGGCUCUAGUAGUUCAACAUGCAAUUAAUUGCCUCCAACAAAGAAAGACAAUGCUUUUCGGUGGCAUCCUUUGUUACUGUAACUUAUUAUUCCUGGGUGGUACCUCAGGAUAAAUUGUUGCCUCAGGUGCAUUGUGUCCCCCUGUUGUAAAACAAGGGCUUUCAAUUGGGAGUUUGUGUGUGUUCCAGUUGUCACCCUUCCACAAGGCUGUAAAAUGCCUUUGUGUGCAAGGUCUUUUUAAAUAAAAUGCUGCAUCCAGGUGGACA